rnacentral:tRNA from 1 species
GCCGGAAUAGCUCAGAGGUCAGAGCAGAGGACUGAAAAUCCUCGYGUCACCAGUUCAA